rnacentral:rRNA from 1 species
AGCGAACGCUGGCGGCAGGCCUAACACAUGCAAGUCGAACGAACUCUUCGGAGUUAGUGGCGGACGGGUGAGUAACACGUGGGAACGUGCCUUUUGGUUCGGAAUAACUCAGGGAAACUUGUGCUAAUACCGAAUGUGCCCUUCGGGGGAAAGAUUUAUCGCCAUUAGAGCGGCCCGCGUCUGAUUAGCUAGUUGGUGAGGUAACGGCUCACCAAGGCGACGAUCAGUAGCUGGUCUGAGAGGAUGACCAGCCACACUGGGACUGAGACACGGCCCAGACUCCUACGGGAGGCAGCAGUGGGGAAUCUUGCGCAAUGGGCGAAAGCCUGACGCAGCCAUGCCGCGUGAAUGAUGAAGGUCUUAGGAUUGUAAAAUUCUUUCACCGGGGACGAUAAUGACGGUACCCGGAGAAGAAGCCCCGACUAACUUCGUG